UUUAUGACUCUAUUGACCGUAGGCCAACGUUUGACUUCCUGGAAAAGAGUGAUAGCGCCCCGUCUCGGCCGAAAUCCAUGCGAAUGCACGGAAAAUAGAGGAUCAAAUAACAGGUUAAAUAAGUGGGCUAGUCCUAGCCCUCCAUUACGAUCCUAUCUCUCUCCGCAGGUUGAGUUAUAGGUCGAAACAUUCCCGGUUUGUUCGCUUUUGGUAUGAACGACCGAAACAUUGCCGAGAAGCGAAAGGUUGAUGUCAACAACUCACACUGAAUUUCCUCCAGUUCCUCCCUUUGUGGCAGAGCGAGCGCCUUGACUAAGAUAGAUUUACUCUUUCAUUCUUGCAGCCUAUUCUGGUUCCAAUCGCGUUUGAGGAAAACCCCCUUUGGCAUCAAUGAAACUCUGUGAUAUAGGAGUUCAAAAACCUCAUUUCGUUUGAGAGAUAGUGGAAUUUAUUCUUUCAACACGUACAUCGACGAGGGUGUCGAUGACUUGAGUGAGGAAUGGUCAUGUGCUAGAGGCCGUACCGUUGGAGUAAGACCUCAACAAGGGGGUGUGCAGUUUAAAUGUAAAUGACGAGCAUGGAGAGGCCAAGGUCAUUUGUAAUUAGGUGUGGCUGAUGCAAGAAGACUGGCGAGCUGUCCAUGGUGAGACUCGUUGUGAUGCUACUGCAGGAGGCAUCCUGGUUGAGGGCGCAGAACUUCUGUGCGGGUACAACUGGCACUUAAAAGACCUUCCGUGUAGAUGAGUUCUCUUGAGUGAGACUAAUCGAGCGAGUUACGAAGAAACCUUUGCGAUGGUGCUGUGCAGUUGGGUUCUCUAUGGAGGAACUUCGUUGUGGGGACCAAGGCAAAUAAGGAUACCCGGUCAGUCACGCGAAUAACGAACAAAUAACGAAUGCGCACAAACCACUUUUACUGAUUCAAUUCUGUAUAUAGCGCUUCCUUAUAUUAUAUUAUCUAUACUCCCCUCCCUUUCUGAUUAUUCUAUUUAAUGCAAGAGUAAGGAUAGACGUCUUAUUCUUCAGUGUUGAGAUAGAAUGACUGUAGACCCUCUUCUCUCUUUUAGUUAGCCUUACUUAUUUAUUCCAAUUCCUCAGCUGGAAACAGAACUACCAAAGGGAAGAAGACAGAAGGCAACAAAGGCGCGUAUCAGCUUCAAGCAUAUAGAGAACUUGACUUACUCACCUACUUUAAUGCCUGCUUUUUACUACUUGAAAUUGAAAGCUGGCUUGGCUCUCAGACCAAUUAACUUGACACCUGCUUAGCGCCCUCACUGCUACUUCUCUCAUUAAGCUGCUCUCUCCUUUUAUCAACUUAUGAAAAAACAGCCUAUUGAUCUUCCGUCGCUCGCUAUGGAUGGUUGCAGUUGCCAAAAGGCUACCUUUUCGCACAACACUUAAAUGAGUCACUGACUGGUUUUGACGUACGUAAUACUUAACCUUACAAUCGGCAUUGCCCUUCUUCUUGCAACAGAGGAUUCGUUCUCUACGCCGAAAGGCCCAAGGCGAAUACAGAGGCUAAGAAUCAAAGCAAGGACUUUUUUAUUUGAAAAAGAUGAUAAAACAGGUCAAAGAGCCAAUAGAGGGAUGUGCUCGCCGCACUUCUUAGCGUUUUCGAUGCAAAAUCAUUUGUCGCGGGAAUUACGAGAAGUCCUCAUUCAAGCACUAGAAAAACCAGAGGAAUUUAAAGCCCCGAAAGAAAGAUGAUGGAAACAAUGCACAUCGACCAAGUAGCGACCAUUACCUUUGAGGAUGAGGACCUGAUAAACGGAUCUGCUAAUCAUAAUAAACCCUUGUAUGUCACGGAGCUUAACUUCACUUAAGUUGGUGGAUCCAGGUUGUCUACAAACAUAAACAUUCUCCCUUUGAAGAAAAUCACAAAUGACAUUGAGUGAGCGCAAGUCUAUAGGGUCCAUGGGUUCAAUCAAAACUCUCAGAAAGCUCUGGGGGCAAUUACACUGCCCAUGCAAUUCGGUUCAUUUCCGACCUUGGUCAAAUUCUAUGUCAUUGACGCCGACACUUCCUACCGAGCCCGGGACCUUGGUUACGUGAAAACCGAAUGGUGCCCUCGACCUUGAACCUGUGUUUGAAGAAAAUUACGAACAGAAUAAGAGGCUACGCGCAGUACUACGCGGUGCAUGGCAUUGAAACAGAAGAAGAGCAUGGCACCCGUCUCCCGAAAAGUGUGUAAGAUGACCAGCCUCCUAUGCCCCGAUAUGUUGAAAGGAAAGAACGUGGAGCAAGCGCUUCCGAUCAGGUGUGGUCAAUUUGAUAGCUGCCAGUUUGCAAAAUUAUGGUUGUCCUAUCGGCGCUAGAAGAAGCGUCCAUACGCCGCUUUUAGGUAUCUCCGCUUCAGACUGAAGUUUCCCACGGCUUAGAAUAGAAGACGUUGAAGCCGCACUAGCUAUGUGCCAGGACGAUGAUACAGCAAGAUUAAGGAUCUCCGUAAACAGAAGAAACUCAAGUGAAAGAAGCCCACUAAUUGAAUAGUCAACUUAGAUGGUUCCACUAGAAUGGAGGGCAACUUCGGACACUCCUCUUAUUUUACUAACUUAAUAUUCUCUGGCUGGUUCUUAGAGUUUUCGUCCUGACAUUGUUAAGCAUACUGCGAUUCACACACCUACCGACUUACGACUGCUUACACAAUAAAGGUUUUCACUACCUUAGCUUACGGAUAGAAUGAAUGCUUGUACUUGCCCAAGGUGACUUCGCAUUACUCUAUACACAGGGUACUGUACUAUAGGGUUAGGGUUAGGGUUAGGGUUAGGGUUAGGGUAGGGUUCCGUUGAGAUGAGCCUUCCCCACUGUACAAGAGUUAUAAUAUUCUAUUAGAUUGGGAAUUGUACCCGCUGGUUUUCUUUUAAGAAAAGACACAGAGUCCUACUUGGGAUUGGGACUUCCACAGUAGCUCCUUUACCAAGACUUGAUAAAGUAGUUCGCAGUAAAGAAAGAACACGGAUACGUUACUAAUAAUAAUAAGAUUGGAGUUAAGAUGCGGAUCAAUUUGAUAUGCUAUUUGUUAUUAAACACUGGUGUAGUACGACUACAUACAUAGCCUUCUUAUCCAGUACCAAGGGUGAAAUAAGUAUUCAAAGUACCAGCAACACUCGAGAAGAGAGAUUCUGUCGAAAGAAGAAGUGCGCCAACGCUGGAGACCUACAAUAUACCAUAUCCGAGGGGCUACCCAACAAGGAGUAGCUACCCAGUGCGAUAGCUUGCUUUUACUAAUUAAUAAAGGACCAACUUCUAUACUCUCCGUGAGAGACAUCGGAAGAAUAAGGGCUUGACGGGAUGGGCUAAUUGAAGAGAUAUUGAAGCCCCCUAUGAAUUCAAUGUGCACGCGGACCGGGGGAAAUCCGCUUUGGGCGAGCGUGAUGAAACUCCUUCUCAUUCACUCGGUCGAGAUCUGGUGUGAACGAAUAGGCUAUGAGAAAGUGAACUUGACUACGCGCUGUCGGGUAUUACGUUGGUGGGAGAAAGAGACAUGAAUACUCCUCCUCGCUUACUGUAUUUCCUGGCUUUGCUGCUUAUCUUUACUCGUUUGAAAUAGUCGGCUAGCUUUUCACUAGUUUCUAGAUUGAAAGUUAGGCGAAUUCCACACUGAAAUGCUUAAUUCAAAGCAGACUAGGUCUUUGCUUGCUUUAGUACAGACAUCCCCGGUGAUGAACUCGCUACCUACUUGAACAUCCCAUUUACUUUCCUUUUCUCUCUGCCGGCUGAGCGCUUAUUCAAGUAGUUUUUCUUUACUAUAAUAUAAGCCCCACCUAUUACUUCUGCUAAUCUUGGAUUGCCGAGCCGAACAGACACUGUACCUACCUCAGCCAGGAUUUUGGACAGCAAAAGAUGGCCAGGAUGUAACACAUUAGGAGGGAUAGGCUCCGCUGAAAUAGCGGGACAAUAAAACUUGACACGGUUGCUUUGCUUUAGCUAUAACAGGAGGAAUAGCCUUCAUCUAGAGUGAAAUCAUUAUUAGAUAGGAUAUUCUUUGAAUUCACAUAGAAAAGUCUAGUCUACUGAAUAUAUGAUACUGAAAGCAAGACGUAGGCGUUGGCAAAGGAAUUUGCCUUUACUAUACUAUACUAUACUAUAACGCACACGUUUCAUUAUUGUUGCUUUACUAUAUAUGAUAUGAUAUGAUAUUCCUUUUAUCAUGAAUUGGAUUGGAACCAAGGAAGUUUUAUAGCUUAUUGAAUUUUGGGGAAAGAAUCACUCUCACUUAUAGGCUUACUAGUUCCCGUAGUUCCACUACACAGUUCAUCAGUUGGAAAUAGAGUCCUAUUGCUUUAGUAGGGGUUGUAAGAUCACACCUGAAACUUUGGUUGUAAUCCCUGGGGCAUUUAACCUUGUUUUUCCCUUGUGAGCCGCCUAUGUAAAUCCACGAUCUUUAGGCAAAUUUGAAUCAAUCAUCGCUCCAGUGAGUAACGUAUUUUUUGGACUUGUAAUAAUAGCCUUGUCCAGUAGCGAAGUACUAACUUCUUUACUUUGCUUGCCCUGUCCGCCUUUCAGGAAGCCUACUUGGCGAUGAACAAGACUUUGAAUUGAAGGUCGAGUAAACUAUUCGAAGGAUCGCCGAUUCAGUCCUCUUUUUUUAUGUUGUAGAGUCCGUAACUGGUCUUUUCUUUGGGAAUGGUAACCUUACCCCGUGGUCAAACUCUUGUCUUGUGGGUGGUCAAUCUCAAACUCUUUAUUAAUAUAGGCGGAUAUUCUAAGAAGGCUAAUAAUCAUUCUCAAAAAAUCCUUGCCUAAAUCUGCGCCAUCUGUGUCCGUCUAGUGAAGAUAGCUAAUGGAUUCCUCCCCAAGCUUCUUUCUUAUUAGUUGCCUCAGCACCCGAGUAAUAGACAGUGGGACUAGUUCUUAGUAGGCAAGCACCUCCUUGAGUGUCCAGUGUCAAAAGAAUGCCAGGACCAGCCGAUCCAUCCAAGGUGAAUGAGCCGCACGAACUGCUAACUACAGAUAUCAUUUGCUCCUUGGUUUAGACUUUAGAACAGCACUAGAUCUUAAGUAUAAGUAAUUGUGGGAGCAGACCUCCUAAAGCACCAGACCAUUUUAUGAACCAAUUGCAAGUAAAAGUAGUCUUUGCAGCAAGUUAAACAAUAGUAUCACAAGUUCACAACUAUGAAUGCUCACACUCAGGAUAGACGCCCAGCUUUAUUAAGAAAGCCAAAGUUCAUACAAUAAAAAAGGAAAUAAGGAAAGCAGGGGACACCUGCGUUACAAUGAGGUAAUCUGACUUAUAACGACUCCUGAACAACUCAAACACUAGAAAGCACUAGUAUCACCAAACCAACAACUGAGCUUUCGACAGACGGACUUAGUCUUUCUUCAGGUCCCGCUAACCUAGUGAUGUAGAAGAUUAGCGCCGGAUGGCACAAGGCGCUUUGCUGUGCAGCCUCUCCACAGAAUUUUGCUGCAUGCUGUGAUGGUGGAACUGUCAUUUUGGGGAAGAAGAAAGCCGCCCCCUUUUGCGGCAGAGUGGGCAGCAUCGCUUUCCCUCGCGUAGCUUCGAUGCCAUGAAAAAGCAGAAAAAAGACAAGAAAAAGAAAAAACAGUAUCUUUUGGAUUCCUGCCAUUAAUUACAGGAAAACGAAUUGUGGAGCUGUAGGCUUCAAAGUAAGGGGAGGACCGAGAUUAUAUACCCAGCAGCAGCGCGGGAUCGAAGGGCUUGGUUGGAAGGUAAGUUGGUGGUAGGUUAGGGGUCUUUCCCGCGUGAUAGGCUUGGCGCUUCCCGCCUGAUAGAUAACCACCACCACCUUUUACAUGCAAGACUGCCAUGCGGCACGAAUUUCACGGUAGGUACAAUCCUGAUAAGUUUGCAGCAGUUGAGUCAUGCCUUUGUAAACAAACCUUUCCCACCUUUAACAAACCGAUCCAAAACCAAGAAAGAAAGAAAAGAAGGAAUUUUAGCACAAGGUUCGCCAGACUUGCUUCUCGCUGCGCUCGAUCAAAGAAAGAUAAAUCGAACAAGAGCUGCGCUCGACCAAGAAGUCAUGGGGCUAGCUCGAACGAUAUAAAGAUGGAAUCAGCAGUGUCAGAAGGUACUUCAACCAAAACAGAGUAGCAUGGCCGGGCAGUAUUCGAAGCCUGUGUUCUCCCGAAUAGCAAUAGAAUAUUUUCUGACGGUAUUUUCAUUUUUUCAAGUGCUAUUGCCUUCUCGGUAUCGUUUUCUUCAAGAAGGGAAGGAAUCGGGGGUUCCGGGCAAGACUGUUUGGCUCUAUGUUCAGGAAAGGAAUGCCCUCAGGGAAGAAAGAGGAAAGUAGCAUAGCAGAGAAAAGAAUCUCUGUUCUCAGUCUAAGUAAGCCCGUCCUAGCAAUAGUGGCUGAAGCUGGUCUCGAUCUCGAACUCAAACUGAUGCCUAGCUGCCUCCAUCUCCGCUUCCUUCUACUACCAGCGUGCGCUCAUCCCUUGCUUGUUCUUUCAGGACUGAGUAUGAUGAAAUAUUUGGAGAUCUGACUUACUUUAGUCCGUAUCGUCGGUCUACUUCUGACAAGCAAAAGGCAUAAUAUCCCCAAUGAGUCAGGAAUAGAAGAUGCCAACGUGUUGAGACCGACCUAAAGAUCUUGUCAAACAAUACAGGCUUUCUUCCAAAGAAUAUCCCACUUUGUUGGCUGGCCUGGGAAAUCUUCCUAGCCUUGACUGUCGUUGCGUUUAACGAGCUUGACAAAACUACCUCCCCGCUUCUCAAAACAAGGCAGAUUAAGGGAGAAUGCCAUCUUUUUCGUAGAUAGUCAGAGUUCGAGCUACUGGACUGGCUUCGGCUUCUUCCUUCGAGUUAGAGUGCCCAAUGCUAAUAUUCUCAAAUGCCUUAACCGUAAUUUUCGUUGAUUCGUUUAGACUUCAUCCUAUAUACGCUUAUGGACAGGCAGAAAUGAACGGAUACCAUUCUCCAGAGCCAGAGAUAGUAGCUUAAUUAGCUUAGGUUUCAAUCCUAACGCACGAGAAGAAAAACGAAAAGCAUGGGACUUCCAGUACGAUAGGGCCGGACCUCAAUGGUCCUUUAUGUCUGAAGCGGAUGUGAGCGUGGUCAACCGAAUCUGAGCCGUGUGCACUGCCAUGCCAGGCGUCGGAACGCUAAUCGGAGCACAUAGAGUGGGCGGUGGCAAAGCAGUCAUCGCGCGUGUGUGUAUCUCUCCCCGAGAAGAGGCGCAUGGGGUAGCGAGGCAAAUCGUGUUUCAUCAAAUGUGACAUGUCUUGAGACGUGCGGGGAUCAUAACAGCAGUACCCCUUGUGCUGAUCACUAUAGCCAACGAAAAUAAAUGACUUUUUUCUCAAAGGAUUGACUUUGGCCACACCGUCUUGAUCAAAGAGCUCGGGUUACACAAAUCUCCCUUCUUUGUGUACUGGAACAGCUACCACUUCCUUUUCCUUUUCCUUAUCCUUAGAACAGCACUAACUUACCGCUCUCUAUACUAUAUAAAAAUAAAAGAAAGAGAAUAGCUCCAUAACAAAAAAAAUAGUGAACUGCCAUGAAUUACACACACGCUAGUAGUGGCUUGGCUCGGCUAGAGGACUACAGCAGCCGAAGCCGUGAUUUGUAUGGUAUGUCUUGCCCUCAAUGUCUGGUUGGUUGGUAAGUCACUAAAUCCCUAUCUCCCGGUGGUCGAGUACCCCCGACGCGUCGAAUGGGUUGUUUAGUCUGACUUCUUGUGCUGGCCCGACAUCAUUCUGUCUCCCGCAUUCUCUCCUUUCAUCGGUUUGUUUUUUUUACUUCGCUUCGCGAUUAGAGUUGUACGCAUCAUGCAUGGGAAUCCUUCCGUCCUUGAUGUUAACGCUCUCGUGCGUAGGUCCCGGGUCAAAGGCAUCUCGAAGGAAGCUGCUCCGCAUAUGCGAUCACCUCCAUGUACCUACAGAUGAGGGCUCCAACGCCUACUGUACAAUCAUGUGGGAAGUGCAUCCUGCACACCAGAAAGUAAGUGGCGUACGCCACACCCCCUCCCCCUGUACCUACACCCAUUGAAACGUUUAUUGUCUGACAAUCUCCGACGCGACGCGCAACGCCCCAUGCAAAUCCCUACGUCGGUCGAUCGAUGCGCACAGAAGGAGAGCUUGUCCAUAACGAAAACGCGUAUGUUAAGUAAAGUUAUGUUAAGUAAAGUAAAGUAAGGACAGCAAGCCAGUAAUGAGAAUAAGCUCUUCAUCUUAGUUUCCGCUUUCAGACAAGUACAGCGUCCACUUUUCUCAUAUUUGCAAAUUGCAGAUCUUAAUCUUAAUAGGAUGUUGGCUAAAAUAAGGGAGGGAUCGGAUCCAAAUACGCAGUGCAAGAUGAAUGGCCGAAAGAAAGAUUAGAAAGUAUGCCCUCGAUUGGGCUGUGACCGACACACUCACAUUGAGUCGCCGAUACAGGUAGUGGUCAGUCUGCGCAAAGCCAUAAUACCAGAUAUCGGAAAGCGAAGCGUGGUGCUAACAUGACUAAAAAAACGAUUCGGAAAUCUGGAACGAAGAGAAGUUAGUAAAUAGGCCUUUUGGGAAGCCCUUGAUCGAGUAGUGAAAGCAUUUGAUCCAUCAGAUCAGUGCUUGAUCUUCUACUUAUACUUAAUAGGUUCAAGACCUAAAUAAAGGAAUGAAAACAGCUGCAAGAUCCGCUUACUUCUUUCUCUUAGUCAGCUCUAUCUCAUAUUGCCUACGAGCUCUCGUAGUAUCUCACAGCAGUAUCGAAUAAUGAAAAGAAGGAAAGCUCUAUUGAAUAAGCCAAGGAUAGAGAGAGGCCCCUUAAAGAACUAUUUGAGAAAAGGAAUAUAUCUCCAGGUUAUUCAUUCAAUCCUAAUUUUCAAUCUCGCGAAUUCAAUAAAAAGAACUCAAGGCUGCGACAUCCACUUUAAGACUAGUUAAAAAGAAAAGGUUCCACCCUUCUAGUUAGACAACCGAUAUGCGACAUCAUACUUAGUAUGGGAGUUGCCGCUGAUCUGCGACAUCAAUAGAUAAGCAUGGUAUGCGAAUAUGUGUUGUUGAUCUCUGCAUCGCGAUGCUACUUUCGUAGGGGAGAGCAGUCAGUCCCCACCAAGGUGGGUCUAAGGGCUUUUUGGGGGGGUAAUUUCGCUUCGUUCAUCUUCAAGUGCCGACAGUUUCUAUUCCCGAGUGUGAAAAGCCAGUACUGGAUAGACGGUUUAGAUACGUCACUGAGUGCCCCAUGGGUCAUCUUGUUUCCUAUUUAUUGGAAGCUACAUAAAGCAUCCCUAUAUUAAGAUGAAGUAAGAAAGCAUCAGUCCUCUUUUUUUCUGUCUUCUAUGAAAGAAUGUAGCUCGCUCUUUCAACCCUCUGCGGAACUGUUUGAGUUUUAGCAUUGACCCCAUUUCCUUUUGAUCGUAUUACGCUUGACUCGCUGCAAAACAUUUCGCUUUCUGCGCUCGCUCGUACGUGGUUUACACUCCUUGCCUUUCAUCUGACUUUUCCAUCGGGCAAUUGUUUGUUUUCAACUGGAUUGGAUUCCAAAGCAAAGAUAGGCAACUUUCACUUGAAAGAAAGGAGCUUCAGAACUAUUGUAUUCCACCGAAUAAGAAUAAGAGCAAGAAGGGGCUAUCUUUGUGAAGGGACCGGCACCAGAAAGUAGAUCAUAUGGCCUUUCUUUCGCAAAAAAAAAUAAAGUAAAGCCAGAAAUGCAGCAAAGCAAGUCGUCUUUGGUUUGGAGCGAAAUUCCCGGAUGUAUAGGCUUGAUCGAGUGCCUUACCUGAAAUCGACGAUCUAAAGUGGGUUCUUUAGCUUGCUCCGACAGAGGUCUCCUUCUCCCUUAGCAGCGAGACCAGUCCCUACCUCUUUUCAAGAAAUCUUUCAUACCUUUUCUACGCCUAAAACAAGUUCAUGUCUCUCCUCUCUGAAAAGUAAGUCGGACCUUAUUGAAAAGUAGUACGCUUUCUUUCGUGGUGUUCAGGAUCCCGUGCUUUGUAGUUCACGCAUGGCUUUCUCUAACGAAGCUAAUGCCGAAUCGAAUUAAAGACCUUAAACGGAGGAGGUGGCGAAAAACAAAAAAAGAGAAAGAGCUUACAAACUUCUCUGAACCCGGUAGCCAGCGGAGCCCUUAUUCAUGGGUUAGGGACUAGCAUUGAACAAAGUUGGUGACAGCCGAAGAAAAAGUGAAAGGGCAAGUAAAUAAUCUAAACAUGCGAAAAAAAAGAAAAAAAGUAACGCGCCCUACCUGUUAGUAUUAGUAAAGUAAGGCCUUCCAGAGCCACACAGACAUACACGCGGAGCGGAUGAGGGCACUGAAAUAAAUGGAUGUCGAUCCGGUACUUAAAUUGCAUAGAAAAAAAAGAAAGAAGUUCAUACUUGAUGAAACGCACAUCAUCCAAUGAAUGAUUUAAGAACACAGACAGAGAGAUAUUUACUUUUUUCACAUCUGUAACUACAUUCUCACAUUUCUUUUUUGAUCUUUUUAUGCGAUCGGAAAACGAAUGAGAUCAGAAAGAUAGGCAGACGACUUGACGAUAAGGUCGGAUGUUUCCGUGAGCAGUAAGCAGCGGAUCUCCCCUUUUUUUGGGGAAAGCUGGUGGCCCUUUUGGCGUGUUAAUUCGGGCGGCCUUCUUCGUUCGGUAGAUCCGGUCGAGGUGGUUUUCGUUUACCAGCGCGUAGGUGGUUGAAGUUCCUAUGACCGAGUCUUUCUGGCCCCUGUGAACAUAUUUUCUUAAUGUAUUAAAGAGGGCCUCUCUAACCGGUGAAAAGUGGUAGGUGUCCACUAACGGCUAUUCCUGGCUCGGCUCCGAUAACGCAAUUCCGGGAGGAGUCGGUAGUUGGGCACUGGAUCCCUUCGGACCUGGAGAACGUGUGACACUGGGUCGGGGUUUGGUGAACCAACAGGUCGCUCCUUUAGUUGAAGUAUCGGGCCCCUUUUUCGUUGCCUAGGUUACACCUUCGGAAUACCCCAGACGGGGAUUUCGCUCUAUUCCCCCCAAUCUUCACUUUACGCCACGCCGACUCUCCGUCGUGGAAUUAGACCAAGGGUCGAAGACCCAUACCAUAGGACCCCGUCUCCCGUAUCUUAUCUUUCGCACGUAGGAGAUCGAGACACAGCCUUAGGGCUAUGGGGAAAGUAGAUCGAUUGCCCAAGAAUUACAACUACAUAGAGGGUCUCUACAAGUCUAUAAAGAAGUUUCCAAAAAUUGAUCGGUAGUAGUCCGGUCGCACCCGAACAAUAAUAUUCCAGAGGGAAAUGCACCUAAGAUCAAAUAUUUUGAGCCGGCUUCCGUGGAAAAUUCAGACUUUCUUUUUGAUGCUGCGAUCACAUAAAAACAUAAACUUUGAAGCUCAAUAGCUAAAUACAUGGCAAUUAAAUCAUGAGCCGGGAUCAUUAAGAGCAUACUGCGAGUAGGAAGUGGAAUUAAUACAAUGAAUUCAAAAGCAUCAAACCUCUCUUUUUCGAAAGAAUCGAAACACAUCGAAAUGGUACCAGCCGUACUUAAUAAUAGAAGGAUUUGGCAGAAAUAUGUAAAAUUGUCCCUCCUAAAAAAAUUAUUCCAGAAUAAAUGGGCAAUAGUUAGGAGAGGUGCGCCAGCGGCGAGCAGAAGCAAGGUUAUUAGAUACCGAAGGAAAGCCCGGCCAGAACCACACGUGCAAGUUUCCCUGCAUGUGGCUCGUCCGUGAUAACUUCUUCGGAUUUGCGUGAACUAGCGGACCGAUCACUAAGUGGUUAGUACCUCCAGCAUGAGCGAACCUUUUAUGAACUGGUUAGGAAUGGGCGCCACUAUCCCAGCCCGGAUCCAGCCGGGUUCUAUUGAUCAUGUCCCCUUCCCAACAGUUGUACCUUGUCUUGGGGCGUCUUUCUUUGGCUUUACUAUCAAGCCCGCCCGCCCAGACGCGGCGCCCUUUCGCAUUAUCAUCUACCGCCCUUUCUUUCCUCCCGUCCCUUCACGCAUGAAGAUCGUCGUAUGUAUGUUCGACUUCGGUUGCCGGUGCAAUAGAAUUGGCGGGAGUAUAUUAUGGCAGGAUCAGUCACCUGGGCAAACCAACCCUCCUCCAAGAAGAAUUGUGCUAUGCCCCCCCCCGAUAUCCCUAUAGAGCGAAAGAGCUGCCUGGUGAUCCCUAGGUUGCAGCACGUCCGGUCGUUAACUCCUCGCUAGCUGCCGCCGUUUUUAGGACCGACCGACGCCUCACCUGCAUGCACAGGUACCUACGUAGUGUAGUGUCGGUCGCACAUUCAUAAUAGCGUUCGGACUCAUGUGCCUUCCUGAACCAGGGGAGUUCCCUUGCUCCUGCUGCGUACGAUUAGCCAGCCUUGCGGCGGCAAAAGGAUUAGGACGUCCCCCCAUGCUAAGGUUCCCUGCGGUCCGGCCGCAUUAGGUUAGGGAGCUGGGCGAUAAUAGCUCCUCCGCAUCCCAAGCGCGCUGCCCUCCUAGGCGCGCAACACUAAGUAAUCCAAGCCAACCCACAUUACUAACUAACGGUGGAUAAUCAUCUUUCUUAGAGGUACUAAAUACAACUCCAUGAAUGAGCAAAAUGAAGGUUGCGUUAAUGAGAAAGAUCUCUGGGGAAACCGCUAAAAAAAGAUUGAACAUGUGUUUCGAUAACUUCUUCUGCUUUCAUUUCCUCUCCUCCGUCUGCCUGCAAAAUCACUGAGUUAAUUCAAAAGUCCUGUUAGGUCACAUAAAGGCGCUUGCCGCUAAACUAAAAUAGGAAUGCUUAAAUAUGCCCCCGCCCCCUUUUGAGAUCUUCAUAUUGAAACAAUAGUAGCGCAUGCUCAUACUCAGCCCUUUCGAGCUGAGCACGGCUGCGGGCGAUUCCAUCCCAUCGGAUCCUUUGCGCCAAUUCAUGGCACCUCCUGGAAGUGGUCUGUGCAUCCAGGUAAUCCUGGUUGUGCGAAACCACCUCCAAAAAGAAGAUGGAUCCUUCCCCAUUCUCCCGCAGAUCUUGAUAAGCUGCCCGGAGAAUAGAAAGAUUAUCCAUUCCUUUGUCCAGAUAGGAACGAACCGCCUCUUCUAAAAUGUACGGCUCGAGGGCUUGUUAAGGAAGGCGGCUAGGGAAGGAGGGAAAACGAAAGGCGUUUUCUGGUUAAAUACAUUACAAGAUGUUUUUCCAUACUUUCCGCCUUCAAGUCCUAUCUCCGUCUAGGACCUCUGAGGUGUCUCAUUCCCAUCUCCUCUCUCUCGAGAUUAGCUUCCGUCCCUUUAGAAGCCCGGAGGUCCCGGAAAUCCUUAUAAAUUUAAGCGAAAUAGGGUCCCUAAAACUUUGUAAGAUUUCGGGCAUCUUUUCCGCCCCGUGGCGCUCAGUUAAAUCAUCCACCAAGUGGGCGCAACUCGCCCACUUUCUUCGACCCCAAUUCAUUGUAAAAACCAAUAAUGAUUGGUUUCAAUUCUUCUUCAAUAUCGAAUAACUGUUCCAUAGUCCUGAUAUCUUGCUCGGUAAGCGGCCUUGAAGGUGCACUGCUGUCCUCUGGCUGGUCCGGCCCAAGCGGAGCACUCGACGGCUCUGCUCUCCCCGAUCAGUUGGCUGAAUCGAUGGAUUAGGCGCCGCUAAAGCCAUUUCCGGCUGCUGCACCUCUUGCCCAGGUUCCACAGGUGCCCCGGGUAUCUCCCGAGAAAGCCCCUGGAAAAACGACGAGGACGGGCUAGAGGUUCCAUCGGGGUUGCCCGCAGCGGAUCCCCCCCGCAUUCUGAUCAGGUUCGUUACCCAUUCCGCUGUGGUCAUCAAAGAAGAAUAAUAAAAAAGUGCUGUUGUUACACUCAACAGAGUGAAAACGCGAGCAGCCCAAACUGGGCAACGCGGCCAUAAAGCGCGAACCAACAUCCGUGAUACGAAAACCAAAAUCAGAAUGAGGAAGAAAAGGAUAUCUUUAGGUAAGUCAUGAAAAUGAAAACCCAAUAAGAACUUACCCAAUAAUUUAGAACAGAUCACUUCCAAACGAGACAUGAUGAGCUAAAGUCAAAAUAAAAUGCAAGAGAAAUUCAAAUUAUGUAAGGCUUAGAAAAAAGUCCUGCGUAGAGUCCACGGGGAGCCUUUUUCGAUUUGAUCUCUAGUCAAACUAAGACUGGAGCUUGAAGCCACUACUCUAGAACCGGAAGAAGCCUAACUUCUGCAUUUUGAGUAGAUUUUCUGACUAUCAUUUGCCUUGAAUUACAAUACGAUAAUCUUCGAUUGGUAGAAGUGAGUCCGGAUCUCCCUCUUUUCCACUAAACCCGCCACUCCUACUUGUACUUUAUUUUCCACCUGGCUAGCUUCAAUUGCUUAGUAGGGAGUUUCCAUCCUUGACUUUCGCGGUUCUUUCUUUGCUUUCUUCAGUUGUGUUGAGGAGCUAUCUUUUGAACCCAACUAACUCUUAAAUCCGAACUUUCCCUGCAGCUUUAGGGCUUCUAGUGAGGAGAGGUGAUUCUCUAGUUUCUCAUUCGCAUAGCCAUCUCGAUUAACUGAGUUGACUUGUGAGCUCCCCUAACCCGGCAGGCAGGCCAAAGAAUGAAGGGCAGUGAAAAUGGUUUCUUCUUCUGGCUAAUUCCGAUACGAAUACCAAAAACAGCUUACUUCCGUUCGUGUCCUCGGAAAUUGGAUUACUUAUGAGUUUCUUCGGUGCAAAAGUAGGCAAGUCCAUUUUAUCGUGUUUUUCGUCCUCAAGACCUGAUUUUCCAAAGAAAAUAGCCUGCCAAAGAGCUAGCUAUAGAAAUACAGUCAGUCGGGGUAAACUGAAAGAAGGAAAUCUACAUUCAUAGAUAGUAGGGCAAUAGGCUCACUUACAUAGUGGGGACAGCAAUAGGCUCACUUACUUUUGAAAUAAGAGGGUCGGUCAACUCUCGGCAGAUAGGGUAGUUGCUAAAUAAAAGCAAAGAAAGAGUGAGUUGAAAGAAGAAAUGUAUGUGGGUCACCAUAUAAUAUAUAUAAUAGUACCUAACUUACUAGGUAUCUCGGUCAACUGCUAGCUUUUCAUCCUUGGUGCAGUAUUUCCACCUUCUAUUGCUUUGCUUGCCUAGCUCUUACUACCGUUAUUUCCAUCUGAGAACUAGACGCCCGGUUCAACUUAGCCAAGUUAAGGGAACGCACUACUCUUCCCUACAAGCAACGGAUUGAGCGCUAGCGCGAAAGCCGGUGCGCGUUAGGCGCAUCCGUUUUCUUGCUUAGUAGUUACUCACUGGGAUUCCCGCAGUGCAGCCGUUGCUUGUUGGGCUACAAAGCACUUCUUAGACGGAAGAGCGGCAAGCAAGCCUACUCAAGUACCUAGCACUCCACAACCCAUUAGUUGGAAGGCAAUCAGCAACUUAGCACACUAGAGCAUACAACGACCUUUAGCAACCUUUUCUCGAGCGAUAGUCUAGUAGGUCAAGCCCGAGUGGAGGCCAUCCAUCCCUUUCUGAUGAAACCUUUGUUGCCCUAGCUUGAAUUGAAGGUUUGGCUAAGGAUGGGGAUCCGGUGUCUUCAUCUAUACCAUCAGAGAAGAAGGCUUGCCAAGAAUGGACGAAGGUAUGAUUCUAGGAAAUCUAGAUUUGAAAGAAGGAAGCACCCGAGGAGCAAUCAAACGGACAUUUCUACGAGUGAACUCGCUAAAGCUGAGGAUCCGCCAGCCAAUAACUAACUCAUACGAAAUUCAUGGAGCAUAGUAGCGUUUUCCCCUGUGCAUCACUAGCAUCAACUAUCAACUCUUUAUCUAUGUAAAUUCUUGAUUGAAAUCCUUCGCUGUUGUCCUCGAAAGACUCUCUUCCUCUCAACCAGUUCACUUCUCCUUUCCAGCUACUGACUGGGCUUAGCAACUAGUUAUGUCCCUAUCUGCCUCCCCUGCCUCCUUCCUCUUCUCUACUUAAAAUGUUCAACUAAAUGCAAGUGAAACGAGACGAGAAUCUUCGAUUGGGAAGUGCACUUAACCCACCCACCUAAACCGGAUCAGGAAAAGUGUUUAGUACGUGCCAAUCGGAAACGUCCUGUCCUCAGUUCCUCGAUGCAUUCACGAGGGAAAUUCGUUUGAAGUCGGUGAUUAGGCAGACGCCCCAUUGUUCGUGGUGUUGCAAUGAAUCCAGUGGAUCAGCCUCAUGGCUCGGUGAGGGGCUUUAUGCUGAUAAAUAGGAUUCUUGUUAUAAUUUCUGUGGGCUCUAAGCUCCUCCCUGACUAAAGAAAUCUAAAGUCAGAAGCUUCCAUUCUAAAAACUCAUAAAGAUUUUCUGACUUCUUUACACGGGAUGUAGAGCUUUUGCCUCAAUCCUUUCUUUUCCUUAGCUAUUCUUUAUUAGCAUGAAUCUCCAUCUAUUCUUUUGGGGAAAUUGAAAAAUCAUUAAAAGUAAAUGGACCCAGGAGGAGUGAAUUACAGCUUUCACUCAAUGCACUUGAGAAUAACAUCUAAAAAAAGUAACUAUACUUGUAACCCUUGGUGUCUUAUAUAUAGUUAGCAUAUUGUUUGUAGGCAUCCAUAAGUGAUUAACGAUGAUCCUACUUUGAUACCACUCCAAGAUUUUACGGGUGCUUUGAAUAUAGAUGGUAAUUGAACUGGACAUGUCCUGGGGGAGGUAGUAAUGGAGGGGUCUCUGGAAAAAGAACAUGGUUUGGUUUAUAGGUGGAGGCUUACUGAAAUAGACCCUGUUGUUUCUGAUGUAGGAGUUGGGGAUGGAAUGAUUGAUUCAAGCUCUGGUGGUACUAAUCAUGUCUCUGGGAGUAAACCAACUGGAGCGGCAAGGAAACAUGCAGUACUGGAGAGGGGAUCUCAUAGCAAUACUGAUUCAAGUAAUUUCAGAGUUACCAGAGAUGCAAUUGGUUUCGAAAUAUGUAUUAAAAAAUGGUAAACUAAUACUGACUAUUCUCUGUGGAUAUCUGGUUGGACACCAAGCAUUUUUACCCCCAUUUGAAUGCAGAGUCAGAGUAUAGACAGCUCAACAAUGUUGUCAUAUAUUUUUAUACCAAAUUAGAGUGCACAGUCAUUUUUCUAUUUAUGUUCCCAGAAAUUCAGUUCACUAGGGAACACCUUACAGGUUGGUCAUGGGUCAGGAUUGGAUAGCAAGAGUUGUCGGUAGCCGGCAUUAGGUAAAAGGAAAAGCUCUAUAAAAGCGAAGAAAUGAAAUCGAAGGAUACUAGCACUUCUUUCUAUACUUGUAGGCUUUCUUUCUUAUAUUCAACUUCAUGAAUUCGCUAUGCUAGGUUCAUUCCAUCCAUCUAUCAGGUUUGAGUAGGUAGGCUCUUUCCUUAAGAAAAUGCACGUAAAUAAGUGAAUCCGAAAAGACCAAGACUUGAAUGAAGCCCAUUUCCCAGGCUAGUUGUUGCCCAUGUAGAAUAGCCAAAAGUGAAGUGCAUAAAGUGCUAUUGUAGCCAAUCUUUUUCUAUAAAUGGCACCACCCGUCUCGCUAACUUCACGUAGAAGCUUCCUUUCCCGGGUUAUAGAGCAAAUCCUUGUUCUAAAGCUUAAUCUACCCCUAUGCUAUGAAUGAACAGAUCCACGAGCUGAGAAUCCCAUAUUCUUUAAGCCAAUCCGCCAUAUCAGCCCUUGUUGAACAACUUAAUAAUCCGGAGAGAAGAUGCUUCUCGGAAGACGAUGGAAAUGAGGAACGAAGUUAUCCUUCCCCUUUUUUUAAGGCACGGGCUCAGGUUACGUACGGAUUUUAUGCAACAAAUACGAUACAUACGGUGUAGAAUACUUUAUUGCUACUGGCUUUUGCCUUUCACGGAUCUCGCUGCGCGCCUCAAUCGUAUCUUCUCUUGCGCGGAGCUAGAAGAUCAUCGACUCUUUCUUUCGCGUAUGAAUACAGGGCCGGGUCUACGUACCAUACCAAUGAAACACACAGACACCAAUUCUACGCCUAUCUGAGUUUAUGCUUAACGAAAGAGCAAGCACUUGGAAAGGAGAGAAAAGGUCGUCCCUUUACUCUAUUCCUGACGUUAGGACGGAUACUUAACUAGUGGGAGGCCUUACGAGGGCUAAUCUACUAUACUACUUGACUCACGAGUUGCUCAAAUCAUCUCUUGAUUCGGAAUCACGGGAUCGGUAGAUGUCACAUAACUUGAUUAGUUAGAAAAUGAUUAUGCUAUCGGCUUGAUAGAAUAAAAAAUAUGAAUAAUACAAGUGCCGGUCAGCUAGCACCUUUGGUGACAUGCUGUUCCCCACUAGUCUUCUUCGUACAUGCCCAUGGGGUCAUCCCUAAGGCCUAUUCAGCACUGCACACUGGGUAGCACGUAACUAGUGGUCAUGCUUACUUCAGAUGUUCUCAGCCCAGCUCAGUCUAUCACUUAGACUUCUGAUUUCGUGCUGUGUUCAACAAGCUAGGAACACAAAAGAACGCUUAUCCUCUUAGGGUAGGGGCCACAUUCUUGCAUACUCUUUUGGAUUUGACAACGUGAGUUCUAAACUGAGCAUAGAGCAAAUAUCUCUUGAUAAAAGAGAAAUAGCAAAGGGAAAUGUGCUAGCUGAUAACUCCUACUAUUUCGCUUCGCGCCUCUGCCUCGUUUUCAGUGAGAUAUGCCCAUCAUAGAGAAUCCAAGACUCCUCACUUGCCUUGCCGCUUCGCGCCUGCCUCGUUGACUGAUCUCGUACAAUCACUUGCAUUUUCCUAUGUGGAAAACUUAGCAACUACUCUACCCUUCCCUUAGAGUAGAGUGGAACUCACAGUGUAGCGAGCCACCCAUAAUCGGCUUGGAAGUGUUGCAGCUCGCAUCCAUCAGACCUGGAAAUACGCUCUCUUUCUGGAAGUCACUGGCCAAGUAUGACAUAGAGAAGAUGGAUGAAAUUCGAUAAAAGGCCGAAGGCGCGCCUCGAAGCAACCGUCUACUACUAGUUUAUAUGACUAGCUCUUAUACUAUACGAGUUCCUGGUAAACCACUACUUGUGUAAAGUAAAGUACUCCGCUCGUUCAACUUGAUGAUGAUCAGUUUGAGCAUGUUCAGCAAGUUCACCAGUUAGCUUUCCCGCCUGCUUGCCAACUAAAGCAAGGACAGCUAUCAUAGAUAGAAGCCUACGUAGGGAUACUACAGACAAACUGCUAUAUAGAGUGGCAAUAAUAGCAAGGGAGGACUAUUUAGUGAAAAAGCGGAAAAAGCCUUGACAGCCGACGUAAUUUAAUGCGCAUUGCCCUUAUAGAGUGGAUUGUGCUAUUUCUACUUAGGUAAUUGCCUUUCUUUAAGAAGAAAAUAAUAGCCCAUUGGACUUACCAUGCAUUGGAAAAACGAUCUAACUAUGCCUCCUAGAUAGACAGACUUUCUAUAUAUACUCUCUGAAGUCUAUAUUUGCUACACCACCAAACAAAAAACAAAGUAAGAUACGUACUACUCGACUCGACUACACAAAUAACCAUAAAUAAGCAAAGAACGGGACUACACACAAUAAGUAAGAAGCUAAAGUCUGAAGCUAUUUGUUGAAAAGCAAACCCAACUUGAUAAUUAAUUGAAUGAGCGAGCCCGCAUUGCUACACGAGCUUAGGCCUCAAUCAAACACUAACUAACCACCCGCUAACAAAGCUAUAAAUGCUGGAAAGACACUAACCAGAGGACAGGUAAAAACACGUCCCACUUCUUUUUCUUUACCAGCUUUGGCUUGCCCGUCACCCCUAACCCAUUCACAUUACCAAGGUUAGAUAGAUAGAUGAACGGGUUCUAACUAUUCGCAUCUAGAGAACGCAUCCCUGCCCUUCAAGCUCAUGGUAAGAAGCAAGCUAUUCAAGAUCUCAUUCUACUCUGGCACACCCAUCCCGGAGGCUGUAUCCCACCAUAAGUCUACACCACAAACAGAAACAAACGGACCUGCACUACUUUUUUUAAAAGAGCAGCGCCACUACCUUGGCUUUCCAAUCUGAACCGGGUAUGGUAUGCGGAUCUAAGAUAGAGAAAUCAGGGAAACCAAGCGGAUUACCUACUCCAUAUUUCUAAUGUGCUCUAAACCCAGAAAAUGUUGAAACAGAGUUUUAUGAGCAAUUCUGGGUCUCUUCUCAAGCGGCGGAGCUGUUCUCGCUUCCAUAUUUCAACUCAUUUCCACUCACUCAACUCAGCGCAACCCGAUUCAAGCUAAAGCAGCUGUUAGACGUUGAGAAUCUUUCUCUUCCACUGUUCUUGUCAAGUCAAAUAAGUUAGGCGAGCUUUAGAGCAAUAAAAUCAAUGCACAUUCUUUAGAGUGGAGACAACCCUCCCCCCGGAUAACGACGAGACACUAGUAAGCACCUUUUUUCGAAACUGGAUAACGAACCGUCAGAACGGGCCUUAUUUACUUAUCAUCUGAAAAAGAUGGUAAGCUCUUACUUAACUCGAGUCAAUGCCAAAACCCGGGAAGCAGCAAGUGUCAUUCUAAGCCAAAAUGCUGUUUUUUACCCGAGAAUCUACACAUGUGCAAUACUUGAUGGAUUGAAGGAAGUCAGAGGGAGAGUUCCGUAUAGGGGGUGGUGAAGGGGCUCAACAGUUUCGAACCGUAGUGAUAUCACGCCUCGGUCGCACACAUCUGGCUUUUGGGGUUCGGGAUCAUAGCGUGAGCUAUGGCCAAGUGCCUCCAUUCUUCCUCCACGGGAUCAAGGCGAUAAAUACCAGCUUCUUUCCUCCACGGGAUUCGUACAUCGGAUGAGGAUUCCUACAACGGUAGAUGAAUUCUAGAAAGGGCAAAACCUACGGGUGCACCAGGACGAGUACCUUCUUUUUAUUGAUCCACUGGAAUAUCUACUAAAGGAAAUUUGCCAUACACUUGUUCUGGUUCCUUUCAUCGGCGUUGUAAGCGCGUUCUUAUUCCGUUUUCUUGGAUGUUUUAGUCAAAAAAUAAAUUCUUUUUCUGGAACUCGCAAUCUGGAGGAUUCGAACCGUAGUGAGAUUAUCUAGCAAUCUCGAAAUAUCGUAUCUACUAGUGCCGGGGGGAGGAAUCGAAAUCUAUAUGCCCUCUCGGGUUCUUCCCUUUCCACCAGUCACUCGGAAAUCAUCUCUCAUUUACUUAUGAUGCCGACAAGCCACGAAAGGAGGAACUUCACGAUUGAACUGGGCUCGCCUCCACUUCUGGGCUUCAACCAGCUACUCAGCAAGAAUUAGCACAACAGCUAGCACACUUUCGAGUUGCACUUACCGUCUCUCAUAUCCGUGAGGAAGGAACAUGUGCCACUAGAGGCUAGAAAUACUUCUCUUGUCAAUUCAAGGAAUGAGUCAAGGCAAUACCAUCUCGGAAGGCGACUCAUAUACAGAGAAGUCUGCUCACUCAGGUCUAAUCUCAUCUAGAUGAUCGGUUAUUGGAAGCCGUUCUACAAAUCCAUGUCCUUGGAUCUGACCUUCUCUUUAGCUUUUGGAGUAGUGACUUUCCCUUUGCUUUCUUCCUGUAGGCAGUAGUAGAACGAUACUAGACCCUCUAUCUCCUUCCUUAAGUACUAGUAUCCCAUUCAUUCCUUCACAGCUGUUUCACCAGAUCUUUGCUUGGAAAUAUUCUUAGGUUGAAUGGUUUGGGUGGCCAUCCAUAUAUAUCCUAUCAUCACUCCUCCAGUAAGUAGGCAAGGCAUCCGUACUAUCCCUAUCCUGGUUCCUGGCUUUGCUUUAUCCAUCGAGACAGACAAGUCAAGUUGUUUGAUGCCAGUUCUCAUCUAGCCAUUUCUCCGGUUCCAAUGAUAGGAGCUCGCGCUUCCAUGAUCCCUACCUCUCUCUCCUUUCGGCUAGUCAUUGGAAAGCUUGCUUCCUAAAAGGUGCCAGGAAUAGGCUAUCUAGAGGAAAUAGAGACUACACUGAGUGUAACAGUCAAGCAGGAAAGUAGACUAGAAAGAAAGAAAGCAUGAAAGCAGGAUUGGGAUUAGCCAGAGCCAGUAGAUCCUCAAGUCAAGGAUUUGGGAUUAUUUGGAUUCGCCCUAGUAUCAACAAUGGAUUAGUAUUGCUUCUAUUGAUGGCCAGGCCUGUCUAUCUGAGGGAACUACGGAUUCAUAGGCAAGACAAGAAGGGGAACGGAACCGUAUAGGGAAAUUGAAACAGUGAUGCAAAUCGGGAUCUCAUGCCAGGAAAGAUCAGUUGUAAGCUGGAAGCAAGCUUUCUUCUCAGGUAUUGGAGCAACAUUGAGAAAUCCUUAGCGAAAUAGGUGUAAUGGAAAAAGAAGUGCUUCGAAUCAUUGCUAUUUGACUCGGACCUGUUCUGAAAAGAGGUAUUUCGAAUUGCUUGUUGACACGGAGAAAGUAGGGGAAAACCUCUGCAAAAAUGUCCAUAUUGACCUUGCCUUGGACAUAGAAGAGUUCCGAAUCGAGAUGGAAUUCCUGGGUUCGAACCUUAUCUUAAGGGAGGUAUCCGGGUCUAUUUGUUAGGGCUAUGUUUCUGUAACUAGACUAGUUUCCUGAUUCAUAGGUUCUAGUUCCUGUUUCUUUUCAGGCUCAGGGUCAUUCCUGGUUCUCAAUUGCGCAUAUAUCAAGAAAGGAAAAGUAGUAAGCUGGACUGGUUCCUUGCUUUCAGGGGUGCUCGUAUACUUUACAGAUGAAUACCUUAGCAUUCCGGGGUGUUAGCUUUCCUUGGUUGAUACGGUUUCGCCCCUGCCUGGAAAUCCAAAGAAAAGAAAGCCAGGUCGUCUAUUUAGAAAGGAAAGGGCUAACUUGUGGAGCCAUUACUAUACUAGUCGGAGUGGCAAGACUCACUAGAACGGAUCCUCUUCUCCCAUCAGCUAUGGAAACAUACAUCCUAGUAGCAAUGGAUUAGUAUUGAAACGUCCAAGGCUUUCUGUGCGGCGUAUACUAGCUCUAAAUAUUUCCAUUCAUUCAUACCUGUCUCUCUGGUUUCACAAGUCUAAGGAUUGGUGGCUGGCUAUUGGUGUAAGCAUUCCAGGAUCUUACUGUUUGUUUGGGUGGAUACGGUUGGUUCUUAUUGCCCGGUCUAACCAUUCUUCUUUCUUAGCUUUGGGUGUUCCUUAGCCUAAACAGAAGCAUAAGCAGAUACAGAUACAGAUAAGUCUGCUCAAACAGACACUACUAAGUCCGCGUCCGCUCACUCCGCUCUGGUUCCACCCAAUACUUAACUUGAUUUCUUUCUUAGUUGAUCCUGAUUCGACAUUAAUAGUAAGUAUAUUGAUUCUUCCCCAAUAUUGGAUGCAAAUCGCUAUAAGCAAUAGCAACGAACCUGAUUUGGAUUCUGUAGUAGAUGAAUCCAGGCUGUAUAUAGCUGGAGAGAAGGUGUCUAAAAAUCAAAAAUGAACCCAUUUAGAGUAGAGAACGCAACUCCAACAGGCAGGCUCUAGGUAAGCUGAAUAGGGAUGGAGUUAGUACUCGGCAAGAGCAGGCUGCGAAGAUGCAAGCUACAAGGCAAUACUAUAUGAGGUAGGCUUUCCCUUCUGUUGGAUCAGACACUGAAUACCCGGCCAGAUAUAUGAGAACAUGGAAGCUUCAAAGGCCUAUCCAAGCACACUAGCCACAUUCCACUUUCGGUAUAGAUACAGAAAACCCUAUCCUUCUUAUUCUACAACUUUCCUUCCAUUGGUUUUAUCUAGUGGUACCAUUCACAUUAUUCUUUCUACGUUCAGCAAGCAUUAGUCUUCCCUUUAGCAAGUAGAAAACGAGGAUCUGUUCUGAUCGCAGAUUCAAGGUCUAUUCCUACCGCUACAGUUUAGUUGUACCUUCCUUUGUCGCCUGACUCAAAGAAAGACAUAGAUACCCGAAGAAGAGAUCCAUGGAAGGAGGAAAGGUGCUGCAGCAAAGACAGAUACUUAUACUUGGACAGCUUUUUUUCGCAAUGAAAGGCAGAAUUGGAAAGUAUUAGUUGGACAGUACUUGAGGUAUCUUGCACAGUAGACAAAGAAAAAACGACAAUUUGGUAAUAAAAUCUACAUGGUUAGAAUUGCCAUAACGACUAUAUUGAGGAGUUUCUGAAACGAGAAUUCUCAUAGAUGAUACGAAAAGCAAUGUACUAAAAGCAGGAAAGUAGCAGUUCUGGGAAAGUGAGAAAGCAAAUCCCUCAAAGAGUUGAAGUUGACAGCCGUCUUUCAAGUGGAGGUGCAACAAAGAAAGCCAUCCAUCUUAGCAGGAAGUAUGUCUAUCUACCCUAGGAAGUGAAGAUUACAGGUACGAAUUCACAAGUAAGGAAGAAAGACUAAUUGCUGUUUUCAAGGAUCGCCGAAGAGAUGAACUAGGUUAUUUACGGGAAGUCGUCCAGGAGCACUUCGUUAGAUUUGCAUGUGUUAAGCAUAUAGCUGAAGUAGCCUAAGCGCUUCAACCUGCUCGCUCUUACAAGACGAAUCUCUUUCUAUACGCAAUUGAAACUAGAGUCUACUCCUUUCUGGUCUGAAAUCUCAGUGGAGACGGUAAAGAUUAGGUGCCUUUUUUCUUGCAAAUUCUGGAUGGCGUAGUCCAUUUGUUUUGGACGGCGUAGUUUCGCAGCCUAUCUAGCCAAGAGCUGGAGUCGGGUUGACCCGUUAUCUCUUCCCAUCGAUUGGAGAUCGAUCCCAAUGAUAGCACAUUAUCCCAUCCCAAUAAAGUUUUUUUCUCCUUUACUUUAUUGUUAUUGGUAGUGUAGUUUCGCCGUUGCUGGUGAAGAAGCAUUCUUAUCCCAAGAAAUAGUGGUACUCAUUCUCAUUAGUUUAGUUUUGCUUCUCAUAAAUUUAAAGCGCUUUCUUUUAAAGAAGCAUCAGGUUCCAUCUUUCUUUCGUUAGUUAAGCCACCUUUUUCUAAGAAGGAUUUUAGUAAUUC
rnacentral:lncRNA from 1 species